rnacentral:tRNA from 1 species
GCCACAUUAGCUCAGUGGUAUUAAGUCGGUUUCGUAAACCGAAAGAUCCUGGUUCAAUCCUAGCAUGUGGUA